CAAUAGCGUAUAUUAAAGUUGUUGCAGUUAAACGCUCGUAGUCGGAUUUCGGGCGGUGCGUCGGUCUGCCGUUGGGUAUGCACUGUCGCGCGCGUCCUUCCUUCCGGAGACUGUGCCUACUCUUAACUGAGCGGGUGCGGGAGACGGAUCGUUUACUUUGAAAAAUCAGAGUGAUUUCAAGCAGGCAGCUCGCUCUUGCAUGGAUUAGCAUGGGAUAAUGAAAUAGGACUUUGGUGCUAUUUUGUUGGUUUCGAACACCGAAGUAAUGAUUAACAGGGACAGUCAGGGGCACUCGUAUUCCGCCGAGAGAGGUGAAAUUCUUAGACCAGCGGAAGACGAACCACUGCGAAAGCAUUUGCCAGGGAUGUUUUCACUGAUCAAGAACGAAAGUUAGGGGAUC
rnacentral:rRNA from 1 species